AUGGCAUCGCCGCCGCCGUGGUCCGAGUCCGACGACCUCUUGGGUCUCUUCGCCGCCGUACUCCAUGGGGCGUGCUGUUCCAGCUGGCACUCCGUUGCUUCCCAGCCAUCUUCUUCGCCGUGGUCGGAGCUCCCACAGGAGAUCCUUGGUCUCGUGAUGGCCGGCCUCCCUAACCUGGCAGAUCGCGCCCGCUUCCAAGCGGUGUGCCGUUCCUGGCGCUCAUCGGCUCCCUCUCCGCCGCCGCAGGUGCCGUGGAUGCAAGCGGUAAUUCUUUCCUGGCAAUCAGUUUUCUCCCCGCCUCCGCCGCGGCGGCCAUGGAAUUGGAUCCACGCGGUGUGCCGCCGUUCGCCGCAGCGGCGGACACCUUGGAUUGCGCUACAUGGCGGCUUCUACAAUAAGCACGGGCGCGCCCGCACUCACCCUGGAGGGUGCUGA
rnacentral:rRNA from 1 species